GGCUGGGUAGCUCAGGUGGUUAGAGCGAGGGUCUCAUAAUCCCUAGGUCUGCGGUUCGAGUCCGCAUCCAGCCACCA
rnacentral:tRNA from 1 species